rnacentral:rRNA from 1 species
AUUGAACGCUGGCGGCAGGCCUAACACAUGCAAGUCGAGCGGAUGAAGGGAGCUUGCUCCUGGAUUCAGCGGCGGAUGGGUGAGUAAUGCCUAGGAAUCUGCCUGGUAGUGGGGGAUAACGUCCGGAAACGGGCGCUAAUACCGCAUACGUCCUGAGGGAGAAAGUGGGGGAUCUUCGGACCUCACGCUAUCAGACGAGCCUAGGUCGGAUUAGCUAGUUGGUGGGGUAAAGGCCUACCAAGGCGACGAUCCGUAACUGGUCUGAGAGGAUGAUCAGUCACACUGGAACUGAGACACGGUCCAGACUCCUACGGGAGGCAGCAGUGGGGAAUAUUGGACAAUGGGCGAAAGCCUGAUCCAGCCAUGCCGCGUGUGUGAAGAAGGUCUUCGGAUUGUAAAGCACUUUAAGUUGGGAGGAAGGGCAGUAAGUUAAUACCUUGCUGUUUUGACGUUACCAACAGAAUAAGCACCGGCUAACUUCGUG